AUGGAAAUACUGAACCUUGGAUAAUUCUCUAAGUCUUAUAGAGGCCAACAGAUUAAGGAAUACUUUCAAGAGUAUCCCUUACACUACUUAGACUACUGGUUAUCCUUCCUUUCCAAGACCUUUAUCCUACCUGCUAGGGUAGCCGAAGCUGAAAUGCAAAUGUUAAUUAGUCCUAUUUCCACAGUGGCCCCUGGCAUGGGUAAAUUGGAUGAUGCCAGCUGUCACAAACAUUAAGUUGUAAAUGAAAAUAUUUCUUACAGCAAGUAUAAGGAUAUACUUUACAAGAAUAUUAAGCAUUUCAGAAUCAGUAGUGCUUUUGAAUCAGUAGUGCUUUUGCAGUCUAAUGGUGAGGUACAAAUCUGCUUUUCAACUUUCCUCAAGGGGUAGAAUAUAAGGAUGACCUUUACAGCUAAUUUCCAAAGGUAAAUUUGCAGAUGGGACCUGACCAUGUUUCAGCACAUAUGGAGAAAUGUGUGUAGAACUAUGGCCUGUUUUUCUAGUGUAAAGAGUAUUAGAAUACAGUCAAACACACAGAAGCUGAGUUCGUACUUAGGGUUCCUCAUAUGCAGAAUGAAUUCCGUUAGUCUGUAGGAUUACUUGCCUUACAUCCAGUAGCUUAUUUUGUUGUACUAAUCAAAAAGCCCCUCUUUGAGAAAGAAUGUGUCAGAGUGAAGUCUCUCCUGAUUCCAGCAAAAUUGAACCUACGCCCUAAAUCGUUGCCCAAAGAGAGACUGUUGGCUGUGUCACAGUGAAAACCCAUGAUGGGAGGAAAGAGCAGUGUUCAGAUUGCUGACUCUGAACCUGUUAUUUGGACCUCUGGGAUGAAUACCUUUAAAUGUUGGUGUUAUUCCUCAUUUUUGUCAGAGUAGAAACACAGUGUGGGCUUCCUGUGGCACUGAGUCUUGCAAACUUGUCUUCUAGCCUGGAGUGUGAUGUGCUUCUACUAGCUACAUUAUUUUUCUAUGGCUGAUUCUUUUCCCUUGGUAGGAUGUGUGUGAUUCUAAAAAUGCCUUUUACUGCCUGUUUUGCCUGAAGGUCACCACUUGGGAAGUUUUCCCCACUUUUGCAGGAACUAUGGCAAGAAGAAUGUUAUGUUUCUAUUAUGGUACUUAACCGUGUUACUGCUUAUCAUGCUUUUAUGAACAGUUUUAUAAUGGAGCACUUUCGUGAUGAGGUAGGCAUGUUGCUGCUAACUUACUGAACUGCUGAACCAAGAGAGUGAAGACAGGCAGACAGAAGCAACUCGCUAUGCUAUGAGGCCACCUUGGGCAAACAUCUUCAAUAGCUUUAUAAUCGUGUUACUUCAUGGCUACCUGUUUUCUCUAUGGGAAGAAGUUCUUCACAUGAGAGUUUAUUUUAGUAGUGAUAGAUAAAGCUUCUACUCUCUUCAGGGACUUUUCUUAAAGUUGACUUUACUAUAACAACAGACAGUUCUUCAGUUUUCAGUUUUAUUGCUAUUUCUGCUAGAACACCUCAUCCACCAGCUUGGCCCCAUAAAUGAUAGUGGUCUCUCAAAGCAUGUCCCACCAGACAAAUGAAGACUGUCAUUCAGACUUUGCCUCCAGCAAUUACCUAGGAUUCCCUGGAAUAAGAGGACUCAGUGUCAUUAUCCCCUCCAGAAAACAGCCAGUCCUGAGCAUGCAGGGUUGCCAGCCUCAAUUUCAUCAUUUGCUUUUCUGCUUUUAAAUGUUUGCAAACAAUAGCAGUCCAUGUCACAUGUUUUAUUCCUUUUAGAUUAAUGAGGUGGCCUGUUCAAGUUAGACAGGCCAUAUUAAUUUCAGCGAAUGCGGUCCUUAGCACCACAAAAGCAAACAAAUGAUUUUGACUCAACUGGACAAAGAGUCUUGGCAUAGUAGGUGCGUAAUUGUUGGUUUUUGGAUUUGACUGGAGACUGAGAGUUGUGAUUUUGAUUCUCCAAAAGCAGACUAUAUGAGCACCAAGUAUAUUUUAGGUCAUUUAGAAAGUUUGUUGUUUGAACAAAUGAGGAUAAGACAUCCAUCAGUUUUUGACACUGCACCAAAUCUGCUUGAUUUCAAAAGGAACUAACUAAACACUCCAUCACAAGAGUCCUGACAAAGAUGCACGGAUGGCUAUAUUAACGAGACUGUGUCAAAAUGAAUAAUAAUAAAUGGCUGUCUUGAGAAUCCAACGUAAAUUUCGUUAUCUAAAAUAGUGGUUUGUUUAAAUGAUGAAGCAAAGAUGGCAUUGGAGCUGUUGGCUGACUGUCCCUUUUUUUCUGCUAACUGCAGAAGCACGGAAUCUGAUGCCCUACCUUGUGGGGUAAUGGUGUGCUUAUCUCCCCCUCCUCAAACAGAGUUUGGCACGUUGCUAAUAACAGCCAGCCUACUGCUAAAAUAUCAAUGACAGAACAGAAGAAAUAGAUAUUUAGGAAAACAUAAAUCAAAGCUGAGGAAGUAGGCAAAAAAAAAGUACUGAUAGAAAGCAAAUAAAGAAAGAUCUAUAAUACUGGGACAGGCAGCAUCUCUCUGCUCACAUGGUAAUUUUCUUUAGCCAGUAACCAACGAGGAUGCCUGCCAUGGGAAGAAGGUGUGAUUUUGUGAUUUAAUGAUCCAAAGCCCAUUUUUAGACACCACUUAGCCAUAAAGAGAGGCCCAAGUUUCUGUGGUCCAGGAGUCAUUGAGAUAAGUAUUUAUGACAAGGUCCACCCAAACACAAGGGGACACAAGAAGGGGGCAUGUCAGGCACAGGGAAUUUUCACAGUGGCUUACAAAGGCAAGUCUUACUCUUACCUAACACAGUAGUUCUCCACACUGGCUGCAUGUUAGAUCCCCACAGAAGAGCUUUUAAAAUCCCCAAUCCAAUAUUCUUGGAAUUGGGGGGCAGGAGAGAGUAGGAGACCCAGUCAUUAGUGGUUUUUAAAGCUCCCCAGUUAAAUAUUUAACUCCCAUUUGAAGAGGGGCUAAUAAGCUGAGAUUAAGAAAUACUGACCUAAAACAACAUGACGUAGACAGGCAAAUCAUUUGUGGAACUCAGGCCAGUUAAUUGGUCAUCUCCCUGAAACAAUUCAAAUUGGAGAAAAUUCUGUACAAAUGUAGUAAUAGUGAUGUUUUAUAUGUGUAUAGUAUUUUAAAUUUUAAGGUGUUUUUAUGUUCAUGUCAGGGUGCUCUCAGGAAAAUGCUUAGCAUCUUGUAAAACUGCAAAUGUUAGAUAUCAUCAACCCAGUGUUAUAAUUGAGAAAACAAGCAGAGUGCAAGUCUAGGACUUAUUUGGAGUCUCACCAAAGAAGUGGCUGGCAAAGCCUAAAAUUGGGGCACUGGACACUUUCCUAUAUUCUUCUAUCCUGGGAAUCAUGAUUUCCUUUGAAGAAUGCUGUAAAAUGUUGAGUGUAUUUGUUUUUGUCUGUUAUGAACUGUGAUUGGCCUCACACAUAAAUAAUGAAUUCUUUUAGGUUGCUUUAGGAAUGUGUUACUUUAGUAUCUCAAAUCAAUAAUACAAUCACAAGUGAAACAA
rnacentral:sRNA from 1 species